GCAGCUCAGGGGAUAACGUGCAGGAAGAAUACGGGGCAGCUUUUUUCUCGCCAAGCACAUUCGUCGGCUGGGGGACGCGGCGCAGGCUGGGUGGGACUUCGGGGCUGUCUGCAUCUGCCACCCCCACCUUGUCUGCAGAGGCAGAGGUGGUGGUGGGGGGGGGAGAACUUUGCCUCUGCCAGGGGGAUGGUGGCACCCUCGAGAGAGGGUGCAGGGAGCAGCAGGGGAACGCUGACGAAUCGUGCCCCUGGCACUAGGUGGUUUUCUCCGAGCUGCUGCGUGCAGAUGGCGUGUGGGGUCCGGCGCGUCAGGUGACUCAAGUUUGAGGCUGGGAGGUAGGAUUUCUGAAGAAUGCCGUUCCUGGGGAAGGCAGGUGGGUUGGCAACACGCCUGGCUAAUCUUGGGAGCUCUCUGCCGGCGACCCUUCCCUCCGGGGCAAUCCUCCUCGCUGCCUCGGACCCUCCCUCAGCCCCCCGACACCCCACCUGCCUUUGUCAGAAGCAGGAAUGCUCACGAUAUCUCCACCAGAAGCUGAUUUCAUUCCAAGAGGACCCUGUCUUGGCUUCUGUGUCAAAGCAACUCAUCUCUUUACAUUGCAAUGAGAUGACAGCAAGUAAGUCACAAAUUCAAGCUCCAGCUCCAAGUUUAGCUUUUUCUAUCACAUCUGCAGUUGUUUUCGUUGCUGAAGUCAUGAACCUCUCAGAGUCAUCGACAAGCAUGGGAACAACUUCUUCCAAACUCCUAGAAAUGUUGACAUUAUGGCCUCCUCCCCUGGGUCCUUUUGCGUUCAGAAUGAAGAAUCAUUUCCAGAAGGUUUCCAGUGAAUUUAUCCAGCUUUGUCAGAGGACUCACUCUCUAUGGCUAUGAUAGCCCUAUGGAAUGUCCUUCUUUAAGAUAACACUUCAUCCAGGGAGUAAGUUCUUGAUUCAUGGAUACAGAAUGAAUAUUGUAUUAGAAGGUCUGACAAGGCGAUUCAUCUCUUUAUACUUCCCCAUCAGAACUCUUGGAAGACCAGGUGGUAAUAUUUGGAUCAUGAUUUUUUUCUUUUCUGAGCAUGAAGUCUCAACAGUGAACUUAAAAUAUUCGUCAAACCAAAAAUGAAGAGAUAGUCCAGUGGGUAAGGCACUUCCUUUGCAUGCAGUCAACCCAGGUUUGAUCCCUGGCAUCCCAUAUUGUUCCUCAAGCAUGCCAGAAGGGAUUCCUGAGUGCUGAGCCUGGAGUUACCUCUGAGGACUGCCACUUGUGACCCCCAAACAAAACAAAAUAAAAAUAUUCAACAAAACUUCUGAUCUACAGAUGUGUUGUCAUCUGGAUUUGGUGAUUCCAAUUCUAGAGCACCGACAGAGUACUUAGCAUCCGGAAUGUCUCCAAGACUUUCAGAAAGGUGCAAUAGGGAUUCAACUUGCAGUUGUCAGAUGUAUUAGCCCUCCAAAGAGUCAGAUGUUUGAAGUCAUACACUGGCCUUUUCUCUCUAGAUGGCAUCUUCUUCCAAAAAAGCGGAUGUGUGUCUAUAUUGCAAAUCUGGUGCUCACGGUAGCCGUGAGCUAUGGUCUUAGCCAAGAUUUCUGGGAAAUGUUCUAAAGUUUAUAAUCCCAGCAAAGGCUGCUCACCUUGCCUUUGGAUACUGCGGCAAUGGCUCCUUUCUCUCAGGAAUCAAUCUCUUCCAGCUGUCUACCUGUCUUCUGCAGCUUCCUCAAGUCUUAGUCUUCAGAGAAUUGAAGACCUCUAGGGUUGUGCUCCCUCUUAAGGAACGCUGUGGCUGGUGUGAUCACCUAACCAGACCCCUAUGGCUUUUUACAUAUUGAGACUGGCACUAUCAUUUAUUUUUUAAUUUUUAUUUAUUUUAUUAUUUAUUUAUUUAUUUGCUUUUUGGGUCACACCUGGCAAUGCACAGAGGUUACUCCUGGCUCUGCACUCAGGAAUUACUCCUGGCGGUACUCAGGGGACCAUUAUGGGAUGCUGGGAAUUGAACCCGGGUUGGCUGCGUGCAAGGCAAAUGCCCUACCCGCUGUGCUAUCGCUCCAGCCCCCUGCAGUAUUAGUCUUGAUGGUUACUUAGCAGCCACUCUCCUUGAGAUUCCAGGAAUAAUGCAGAGGUGGUGAUCUUUCUGUUUCCUUCUCUCUCUCUCUCUCCCUCCUCUCUCUCUCCUCUCUCUUUCUCACAUUGCAUUUGACCAACCCAGGCCUGGUCCCAGCACUGCCAGGUAUCACUCCUGACCAGAGAGAGAGCCAGAAGUAGCCCCUGAGCACUGUCAGAGGUGGUCCCCAGAUCCAACUUCAUAUUUAUGUAUCUGGGAACCGCUCAACCACAAAACAAAGAUAUUUUAAUAGUGCUGCACCAGCCAUGUACCCGUGUAAAAGUUUUAAAAUCUGCUGGGCUUAUUCCUCCUCUGUCCUGAGCCACGCCCCCUCUACUGUGUUGAAAUUCCAGACACGACAUCAAUAUCAUCUGCUUUGUAAUUACGUUGCCAUGUUCCUAUUUUUGUCAUUUCCACAGUAUUUCUACAUUCACUGGCACUGAUCAGCCCUGUUAAGCAAAGAGGAAUAUUUUGGUAAUUGGAAGAAUUCCAGCCUGUGUCAAUGAUGGAAUCGUGCCCUGACACGGUAGGCAACGCAAGCCACCUUCACAUUUUGUGAAUUCUCACGUAUCUUAAACUUUUUUCUUUUUCAUUCUGAUUCUCAUGCAGUGAUCUGUCUGCUUCCAAUUGUUGUUGUGUGGGGAGUGGCCCGAACAGCACCCCAGCAGACUAGAAACCUAGAGUGGCUGAUCUAAUUGUUCCAAGGCCCAGCCGUUCCCCACUCUCUCUCCCUCUUUGGGGCCUUCCUAAUCUUCGAGACAGCAGCACUGAAAGUCGGCUAAUGACCAACUCCGAAAUGGUUUCUACACGUUCAAGCAAAAGGAAGAGUCACCUGCCCCUAUCAGUGAAAAUCUCAGUGAGGAUCCUGAGAGCUAAGGCAGGCUGAGAGCUAGGCCUUCUGGACUCAGCAACCAAGCUGUGGGUGCCAAGUAAAAGUUCUAGAAGGAAAUUAGUACGCCCCUGAUCACUGACACCUUGACACUGGGGAAUUCCACCGGUGACUUUCACGUGGAUAUGGCUUAAUAAAUGACAGUGCCAGGGGCUGGAGUGAUAGCACAGCGGGUAGGGCAUUUGCCUUGCACUCGGCCAACCCGGCUUCGAUUCCCAGCAUCCUAUAUCAUCCCCUGAGCACCGCUGCCAGGGGUAAUUCCUGAGUGCAAAGCCAGGACUAACCCCUGUGCAUCGCCAGGUGUGACCCAAAAAGAAAAAAAGAAAAAAAAAGACUAAUACUGCAUUGCUGUCCCGGACACCUGAAAACGAUGGCAACUUCACAAAACCCAAGAAAGAAGAGAAGUUUCUUCUAGAAGCAAGUGUAGGUUUGGGAUCUCCAAGUGCAGCCUGGGACUUGGGGCUGCAUCUUUUCAUUGUCAAGAUGAGACUUUUGCGGGGACAAUUGCAGUGUUGAAGAGUCUCUGUUUGGGCUGUAAGUAUCGAUCGUUUAAUGGCCCCCAGUUAUCAGCAAUACUUCCUGGAAGCUGACGGGUGCACCGGAGUCCUGCAGGAAGCCUGCCCAGGAGAGGGAAUACAGGAAACAAAUCAACACUGCAGAAUUUGGGGUGAUAACGUCUUGGGUAGCACUGACCCUCAGAGAGCCUGCAAAACUAAUUUCCUUUGUACUGUGGCUCUGAUUUUCAGCAAAUUUUUGGUUUUGCACAUACAAUUUUUUUAAUGAUGCACUUUAUAUAAAGAUUGUAAUCAAACUCCAUCAUCUCUUUUGGGGGGUGGAGGAGGCUGCCACAGCCUGGAGUACUCAGGGGCUUUAAAAACUUUGUGUUCCAAGAUUAGUCCUGGUGGUGCUCAGGAGACUGAAUGUGGUGGUGGGGAAACACCUCCAUUGUGAGACUUGUUGUUACUGUUUUUGGCAUAUUGAAUACGCCGCAGGGAGCUUGCCAGCCUCUCUGAGAGGGGUGGAAGAAUUGAACCUGGGUCAGCCGAGUGCAAGGCAAAUGCCCUACCCACUGUGCUAUGGUUCCAGCCCCAGAAUUAUCUGUAGCAGAGAAUAACAGAGCAAGGGAAAUCAAGGUAUCAGGGUGGGGGUCAGGGGGGGACACCUAGUGAAGAUAAGGAAGGAAAGAAACUGUGAGGGAGAAAGGACAAAGAAGAGGACAGAAGGUAACAAGGGCACUAGGACAGGGACACAUUGGUGAUGAAGAUGUGUGAUUUGACUCCUUAUCUGCGCCAUAAAACCAAAAACACUGAAAGCAUGAGAGCCAAACGAUAAAAACCAAACUUAAAAAUAUGCCUGUCACAGCGGCAGGCUGGGGGGUGGGAAGGUAAAUGGGUACAUCAGGCAUGGGAAGUUGACGCUGCUGACGAGUGAGGUGUUGAGAAGCUGUAAGCCUGAAAGCCAACUAGGAAUAACUUUGUAGAUCAUGACGGCUAAAUUUUUAAAAGAAUAUUUUAAAAAUGCAUUGUAGCACUGUAGUCCUGUUGUUCAUCGAUUUGCUCAAGUGGGCACCAGUAACGUCUCCAUUGUGAGACUUAUUGUUACUGUUUUUGGCAUAUCGAAUAUGCCACGGGGAGCUUGCCAGGCUCUGCGGCGUGGGCGGGAUACUCUCAGGAGCUUGCCGGGCUCUACCCCUGAUGUAUUCAACAUGCCAAAAAUAGUAACAACAGCUCUCACAAUGGAGACAUUACUGGUGCCUGCUUGAGUAAAUUGAUGAACAAUGGGAUGACAGUGACAGUGUUAUUAAAAAAAAUGAGUCUGAUGUGGACCUGCCUGGCAAGAACUCCUGAGCUGGUCACAUGAAAAGUAACUGACGAAGCACUGAUCUCAACUUUUCCCUAAAACUACACAAUCGUAAGGAGAAAAGGAAAUUGAACUCUAGAUGCAGAGUUGACAUAACAAUACUAAAGGAAGCUUCUGCACUCAUAGCAAAUUGUAGCUUCCUAGAACCUGACUCUCAGACACCUAUGUCUGCAUAUCUUUACCUGUAUAUUUUACCUGUGUCUGCAUGUAUAUCUUUACAAUAUCUACCACAAUGCAUGUGGGGAUGUAGAUGAUAAAAUCUCCCUGAUAACUUUUAUCUUUCACCACCACAAGAGAUGAUGCAUAGACUGAAAUUAGACUUGUCAGAUAAGGAACUGUUUCUGUUUAUUUGUUGGGGGUCCACAACCACCUUAGGGCUAUUCUGGACCCAGUGCUUGAAUGCUAUUCCUACGCAGUGCUCGGAGACUCGUGUGGCUUGAACCCAGACUACCUGCGUGCACACCAGCCGUUUGGGUCCUGUCUCUGGCCCAAUGAACUGCUUCUUUCUCAAAAAGCAGUCAAUACAUUUACCAGUCUUGUUCCAAGGUGUUGUUGAAACAGGUGUUUGCGCGUCAAAGAGGAAUAUGUGUUUACUAAAAGCUGCUUGGAAAAUGGGCGUUGCCCUGUGAAUCCCCUGUCAUUCCACUGUGGUUUGGUUUCCACUUGAAACAGCCACAUCUAGAAGCCUGCGCAUCCCAACCAAACUUUUCCCAAAGCCCAAGAUUUAAGUGGCUUUCUUCACCAAUGGACUAUGUCAAGAAUAGCAACAGAAUUUUUGCCAAUAUUCAACGCGAAGUCCCAACACAGGCCAAAUGCAUGAUCUUUUAGCUCAUGUAAAUCUUCACAUGAUUUACAGUGAAGAAUUCAUAUUUUAUUUUUGUCUUGGGGUCGUGCCUGGUGAUGUCAGGGGUCACUCCCUCCCAGCUUUGUGUGUAAGACUUGCUCCUUGCAGUGCUUGGUGGGAGAAAUAGAGAGUGCGGGGAUCGAAAUGGAGUCAGGCACACAUUAGAGAAUUUACCCCUGUAUUUUUCUCUCUGGUCCCGUUGUCUCUUUUGAGCUGAGGCUUCAGUAAACCUGUGCAACUGAUCUACGGUAAUAGAGGACAAUCUCUCCUG